CUGCUAGUUGUGCGGGUUUAGACCCGCAGCGGAAAGCUCAGUAACACGUGGCCAAGCUACCCUGUGGACGGGAAUACUCUCGGGAAACUGAGGCUAAUCCCCGAUAACGCUUUGCUCCUGGAAGGGGCAAAGCCGGAAACGCUCCGGCGCCACAGGAUGCGGCUGCGGUCGAUUAGGUAGACGGUGGGGUAACGGCCCACCGUGCCCAUAAUCGGUACGGGUUGUGAGAGCAAGAGCCCGGAGACGGAAUCUGAGACAAGAUUCCGGGCCCUACGGGGCGCAGCAGGCGCGAAACCUUUACACUGUACGAAAGUGCGAUAAGGGGACUCCGAGUGUGAAGGCAUAGAGCCUUCACUUUUGUACACCGUAAGGUGGUGCACGAAUAAGGACUGGGCAAGACCGGUGCCAGCCGCCGCGGUAAUACCGGCAGUCCGAGUGAUGGCCGAUCUUAUUGGGCCUAAAGCGUCCGUAGCUGGCUGAACAAGUCCGUUGGGAAAUCUGUCCGCUUAACGGGCAGGCGUCCAGCGGAAACUGUUCAGCUUGGGACCGGAAGACCUGAGGGGUACGUCUGGGGUAGGAGUGAAAUCCUGUAAUCCUGGACGGACCGCCGGUGGCGAAAGCGCCUCAGGAGAACGGAUCCGACAGUGAGGGACGAAAGCUAGGGUCUCGAACCGGAUUAGAUACCCGGGUAGUCCUAGCUGUAAACGAUGUCCGCUAGGUGUGGCGCAGGCUACGAGCCUGCGCUGUGCCGUAGGGAAGCCGAGAAGCGGACCGCCUGGGAAGUACGUCUGCAAGGAUGAAACUUAAAGGAAUGGCGGG
rnacentral:rRNA from 1 species